rnacentral:rRNA from 1 species
AGAGUUUGAUCAUGGCUCAGGAUGAACGCUGGCGGCGUGCUUGACACAUGCAAGUCGAACGGAGUUGAUCGGAGGAAGUUUUCGGAUGGAAUCGGAUUGACUUAGUGGCGGACGGGUGAGUAACGCGUGGGUAACCUGCCUCACACUGGGGGAUAACAGAUAGAAAUAUCUGCUAAAACCGCAUAAGCGCACGAGGUCGCAUGACCAUGUGUGAAAAACUCCGG